AGGGGAGUUGGAUGGGGCAGUUAGGGGCAGAGGGAGGAUUGGAUGGGGCAGGAGUCUUGGUGGGGCUGUCAGGAGGUGAGAAGUGGGGGGGGCCAGAUAGGGGGCACGGGCCGGGCCAUGUCUGGCUGUUUGGGGUGGCACAGCCUCCCCUAACCAGCCCUCCAUACAAUUUCAGAAACCCGAUGCGGCCCUCAG